CCCAACUGCAGUUCUUUAAGCUAAAGAGUGCAGUUCUUCACGCUUCCUUGUGACAGUCUCCUAAUUACCCAUUCUGAGCCCUCUGAAACAGCAUUCCUCCUAGUUAAGGAUCUCUGCCAUCACCGCAAGACACCACACGCUUUGCUGAAAUAGCUGGAGAAUGGGUCCCUGUCUCCUGCCACUUACUCGCCCUGCUCCUGGUGUACGGCACACCGCAUGUGCUAAAGUGGAUUUCUCAUCCUGCUCCAAGUUAGCCAAGAGCAUCUGUACAACCACUGGGAAGUCAACUUCACUUCAGAUCUCGCCUGCACCUCUCCACCUUAUGGUCUGCCCAGGAGCUAAUGGAUUUGGAGAUGUAGCAGACCUGGAGCUAACUCUAUCCUGCCGCUUAUUAGUGAGGCAGUCUUGGGCAGAGAGAACACUGACUCAGUUGAAAGUGCUCAGAAAGUCUUGACCUCAUAGAAUUCUUGCAAGUAUUAAAUGAGAAAAUGAAUAUAAAAGACUCAGCAGAGCACGUGACAUAAAAUAAGGACUAAAGAAAGAGAGGAUGUUGUUGCUACAAAUAUUACUACCUCCAGUUGUCAAAAUCCUUUCAUCAUGCCAAAAGUUAAUCCAAAUGCAACCUCCAAGGUUAUUGUAUUUGGAAGCGCUCUUUCCCCUCUGAACUGUAGAGCUAAAUUGCAUAGAGGGGAUUUCUCAC
rnacentral:lncRNA from 10 species